UACGGAGGGGGCUAGCGUUGUUCGGAAUUACUGGGCGUAAAGCGCGCGUAGGCGGAUCUGCAAGUCGGGGGUGAAAUCCCGAGGCUCAACCUCGGAACUGCCUUCGAUACUGCGGGUCUCGAGUCCGGGAGAGGUGAGUGGAAUUCCUAGUGUAGAAGUGAAAUUCGUAGAUAUUAGGAAGAACACCAGUGGCGAAGGCGGCUCACUGGCCCGGUACUGACGCUGAGGCGCGAAAGCGUGGGGAGCAAACAGG
rnacentral:rRNA from 1 species